UGCGUAGGCGGGUUGGUAGGUCGGAUGUGAAAACCUCACAGCUCAACUGGGGGGCCUGCAUUCGAAACCAUCAGCCUUGAGUACGGGAGAGGAAAGCGGAAUUCCUGGUGUAGCGGUGAAAUGCGUAGAUAUCAGGAGGAACACCGGUGGCGAAGGCGGCUUUCUGGCCCGAUACUGACGCUGAGGCACGAAGGCUAGGGGAGCAAACA
rnacentral:rRNA from 1 species